rnacentral:tRNA from 2 species
GGGGCCAUAGCUCAGUUGGGAGAGCGCGUCCCUUGCACGGACGAGGUCGCCGGUUCGAGCCCGGCUGGCUCCA